GCAGGGCUGGGCGCUCGGGGAGCUCCGCGCGCGGGGCAGCUUCCCCGUGACCCGCGGCCGCGCAGCUCAGGGAACUCAGCUCCGUGAGGCUUCCGGGAGAGGGGAAAGGCUGUUCUCCUUUGAUGCUGUUUGGUUUCACAGUGGAAAACUACAAUUAAAAAAACAUAGCCAUGAAAAUAAGUGAGAUUAGAACCUGCCGGCUUCACUUCCUGGAGGCUUUUUGUUGUGUCUUGAAACUAGGAUCUUUGCGGGCCAUCCCUGCUUUGAUCAAAAUCAACCAUUCCUUUCCAAAAUUCAGAAGCUUCCACAACAAGUUGAUACAUUUUAUCAUUUCCCAUGUCUGAAUUACUUCCUGUUGAGAACAUGAACUGGAUUAAUAGAAAUUCCUCA